GCGCGAAAACUUUACAAUGCUGGCAACAGCGAUAAGGGAACCUCGAGUGCCAGGUUACAAAUCUGGCUGUCGAGAUGCCUAAAAAGCAUUUCAUAGCAAGGGCCGGGCAAGACCGGUGCCAGCCGCCGCGGUAACACCGGCGGCUCGAGUGGUAACCGUUAUUAUUGGGUCUAAAGGGUCUGUAGCCGGCCGGAUAAGUCUCUUGGGAAAUCUGGCAGCUCAACUGUCAGGCUUUCAGGAGAUACUGUCUGGCUCGAGGCCGGGAGAGGUGAGAGGUACUUCAGGGGUAGGGGUGAAAUCUUGUAAUCCUUGAAGGACCACCAGUGGCGAAGGCGUCUCACCAGAACGGACCUGACGGCAAGGGACAAAAGCUAGGGGCACGAACCG
rnacentral:rRNA from 1 species